rnacentral:rRNA from 1 species
AUUGAACGCUGGCGGCAUGCCUUACACAUGCAAGUCGAACGGCAGCACGGGUGCUUGCACCUGGUGGCGAGUGGCGAACGGGUGAGUAAUACAUCGGAACGUACCUUAUCGUGGGGGAUAACGCAGCGAAAGCUGUCCUAAUACCGCAUACGCCCUGAGGGGGAAAGCGGGGGAUCGCAAGACCACGCGCGAGUAGAGCGGCCGAUGCCUGAUUAGCUUGUUGGUGGGGUAAAAGCCCACCAAGGCGACGAUCAGUAGCUGGUCUGAGAGGACGAUCAGCCACACUGGGACUGAGACACGGCCCAGACUCCUACGGGAGGCAGCAGUGGGGAAUUUUGGACAAUGGGGGCAACCCUGAUCCAGCAAUGCCGCGUGAGUGAAGAAGGCCUUCGGGUUGUAAAGCUCUUUUGUCAGGGAAGAAACACCGGCUCUAACACAGUCCGGGAAUGACGGUACCUGAAGAAUAAGCACCGGCUAACUACGUGCCAGCCGCCGCAGUAA